GGCAAGUAUCUUUAUUGUGUGGAGGAGUUAUUUCCCGAUAUCUGGAAUGAGCCAGUGGACCUUGCAUUACUGGCCAGACAAGUUCCAGGAGAAUUGGACCCUGAGUGUUGUUACCGGUGUGGCAUGGUUCAUAUGUUCAAGCUCACGAGCCCUGUGUGACGCGGUGUCAGCGAUUGUCAGGUGGGGGCUCUAGGACUGUGAAAGGCCCACCCCUGGGAAGAAAGAAAAAGAUGGCCGGGCGGGGCAGGGAAACCAAAGAGGGGUUUGGGGAAGGGGCAUGUGAAGCUUUACAGUUGUAUAAAAAUGCUCUGAAUAAAGAAAAAAGUAUUCAUUGCUGUGAAGAAAA